rnacentral:rRNA from 14 species
UAAGGUAGCGAAAUUCCUUGUCGGGUAAGUUCCGACCCGCACGAAAGGCGUAAUGAUUUGGGCACUGUCUCAACGAGAGACUCGGUGAAAUUUUAGUACCUGUGAAGAUGCAGGUUACCCGCGACAGGACGGAAAGACCCCAUGGAGCUUUACUGCAGUUUGAUAUUGAGUGUCUGUACCACAUGUACAGGAUAGGUAGGAGUCUAAGAGAUCGGGACGCCAGUUUCGAAGGAGACGUUGUUGGGAUACUACCCUUGUGUUAUGGCCACUCUAACCCGGAUAGGUGAUCCCUAUCGGAGACAGUGUCUGACGGGCAGUUUGACUGGGGCGGUCGCCUCCUAAAAGGUAACGGAGGCGCCCAAAGGUUCCCUCAGAAUGGUUGGAAAUCAUUCGCAGAGUGUAAAGGUAUAAGGGAGCUUGACUGCGAGAGCUACAACUCGAGCAGGGACGAAAGUCGGGCUUAGUGAUCCGGUGGUUCCGCAUGGAAGGGCCAUCGCUCAACGGAUAAAAGGUACUCUGGGGAUAACAGGCUGAUACCGCCCAAGAGUUCAUAUCGACGGCGGUGUUUGGCACCUCGAUGUCGGCUCAUCUCAUCCUGGGGCUGAAGCAGGUCCCAAGGGUAUGGCUGUUCGCCAUUUAAAGAGGUACGCGAGCUGGGUUUAGAACGUCGUGAGACAGUUCGGUCCCUAUCUGCCGUGGGCGUUGGAUGAUUGAGUGGAGUUGCUCCUAGUACGAGAGGACCGGAGUGAACGAACCGCUGGUGUUCGGGUUGUCAUGCCAAUGGCAUUGCCCGGUAGCUACGUUCGGAACGGAUAAGCGCUGAAAGCAUCUAAGCGCGAAGCCGGCCACAAGAUGAGUCAUCCCUCAGGCUUUAAGCCUGCUAAAGGGUCGUUGAAGACCACAACGUUGAUAGGUGAGGUGUGGAAGCGCAGUGAUGUGUUAAGCUAACUCAUACUAAUUGCCCGA